rnacentral:rRNA from 1 species
UACGAAGGGGGCUAGCGUUGUUCGGAAUUACUGGGCGUAAAGGGCGCGUAGGCGGUCCUGAUCGUCGGAUGUGAAAGGCCUGGGCUCAACCUGGGAAUGGCAUCCGAUACGGCGGGACUGGAGUGUGGGAGAGGUUGGUGGAAUUCCCAGUGUAGAGGUGAAAUUCGUAGAUAUUGGGAAGAACACCGGUGGCGAAGGCGGCCAACUGGACCACAACUGACGCUGAGGCGCGAAAGCUAGGGGAGCGAACGGG